GAGGAAUAUUGGACAAUGGGUGCAAGCCUGAUCCAGCCAUCCCGCGUGAAGGAUUAAGGACCUAUGGUUUGUAAACUUCUUUUGUACAGGGAUAAACCUAUCUACGUGUAGAUAGCUGAAGGUACUGUACGAAUAAGCACCGGCUAACUCCGUGCCAGCAGCCGCGGUAAUACGGAGGGUGCAAGCGUUAUCCGGAUUUAUUGGGUUUAAAGGGUCCGUAGGCGGAUCUAUAAGUCAGUGGUGAAAGCCGACAGCUUAACUGUCGAACUGCCGUUGAUACUGUAGGUCUUGAGUAAAUUUGAAGUGGCUGGAAUAAGUAGUGUAGCGGUGAAAUGCAUAGAUAUUACUUAGAACACCAAUUGCGAAGGCAGGUCACUAAGAUUUAACUGACGCUGAUGGACGAAAGCGUGGGGAGCGAACA
rnacentral:rRNA from 1 species